CCUCCAUGCGGAGCCAAGAUGGGGAAUGGAACUGAGGAAGAUUAUAACUUUGUCUUCAAGGGUACUAUCGUGGUGCAGUGGGGGCCCUCCUGGUGUUUGACCUAACCAAGCACCAGACCUAUGCUGUGGUGGAGCGAUGGCUGAAGGAGCUCUAUGACCAUGCUGAAGCCACGAUUGUCGUCAUGCUCGUGGGUAACAAAAGUGACCUCAGCCAGGCCCGGGAAGUGCCCACUGAGGAGGCCCGAAUGUUCGCUGAAAACAAUGGACUGCUCUUCCUGGAGACCUCAGCCCUGGACUCUACCAAUGUUGAGCUAGCCUUUGAGACUGUCCUGAAAGAAAUCUUUGCAAAGGUGUCCAAGCAGAGACAGAACAGCAUCCGGACCAAUGCCAUCACUCUGGGCAGUGCCCAGCCUGGGCAGGAGCCCGGCCCUGGGGAGAAGAGGGCCUGUUGCAUCAGCCUCUGACUUUGGCCAGCACCACCUGCCCCCACUGGCUUUUUGGUGCCCCUUGUCCCCACUUCAGCCCCAGGAUCUUUCCUUGCCCUUUGGUUCCAGAUAUCAGACUGUUCCCUGUUCACAGCACCCUCAGGGUCUUAAGGUCUUCAUGCCCUAUCACAAAUACCUCUUUUAUCAGUCCACCCCUCACAGACUAGGACCCUCAAAUAAAGCUGUUUUAUAUCAA
rnacentral:sRNA from 1 species